rnacentral:rRNA from 1 species
UCAUCAUGCCCCUUAUGAUUUGGGCUACACACGUGCUACAAUGGACAAUACAAAGGGCAGCGAAACCGCGAGGUCAAGCAAAUCCCAUAAAGUUGUUCUCAGUUCGGAUUAUAGUCUGCAACUCGACUACAUGAAGCUGGAAUCGCUAGUAAUCGUAGAUCAGCAUGCUGCGGUGAAUACGUUCCCGGGUCUUGUACACACCGCCCGUCACACCACGAGAGUUUGUAACACCCGAAGCCGGUGGAGUAACCUUUUAGGAGCUAGCCGUCGAAGGUGGGACAAAUGAUUGGGGUGAAGUCGUAACAAGGUAGCCGUAUCGGAAGGUGCGGCUGGAUCACCUCCUUU